ACCGGCAGAAGGCAGCCUGAAGCUGGUAGCAGUAACCCACGAGUGCAGACUGCCUUGUGAGCCCUGUGAAAAACAGGGCAGACUGUUGCUGAGGAAUAAUUCUUCCUAGUGGGUCCGAGUCGGUGGCGGAGCAGCAACCGAAGGAUUCCGCGGGCGGCAAGAGGGAUGUGUGAGAAGCGCCGGAGCUCCCCCAGUUUCCCAUCCUGCCGGGGCGCCGGCUGUGCUCACCGGCACCUUCAGGAAGGCAACGUGAAGUCAGGCACCCCUUGCCUCGCAGCUGAGGGUCUCGAUGCGGAAAAUCAGUGAUAAGGAAGGAGAAGCGGAAUGAAGUGGGUUGGAAACCAAAGCAAAUCACGGAUUUCCCUGGGGAAGCAAGGCAGGGGGCUGGGGGAGAAGCGCACACGGCGGGUCGCGGCGAGUCUCCGGGGGGCAGGAUUUCUCUUCCAUCGCAUGGAAGAGCGAGAUUAAAGAAGAAAGUGGGAGUGGGGUGGGAGGGGAGGGAAGGGAAGGGGGGGUGUGGGGGGAUGAACAAAGGAGAUUGGCAGCACAGCUGUUUUGGGAAGAAAAAAAAAAAAAAAAAAAAAAAAAAAAAAAAAGGCCAGCCUUCCUGUUUCUUUAAAGCCGCUCAUCUGCGCGGCGGCCGGCUGCCGGCGGCGGGAGGCAGGCUGCGGGGAGCUGCGCGGAGCUGCGCGGAGCUGCGGCUCGGAGGACGGACGGACGGAGCCGGGCGCAGAUGGGCGGCAGCGGCAGCGGGGCGGCGGCAGCAGCAGCAGCAGCAGCAUCGGCAGCAUCGGCAGCAGCGCAGCAGCGGCGGAGCGGCCGCGGCUGAGCCUCGCCGCGCAGCGCCCCGCGCCAUGCGGAGCGCGCCGCUGGCCGAGGGCGAGCCCUGGCCGCGCCUCUGCCCCGCCGAGCUCGGGGGGCUGCGGCGGCUGCGGCGGAAGCACGGCGGCUGCAAAAGUUUCCGCGUGGAGCUCAAAGUGUUGAGCGGGCGGCGGACCGGGCUCCGCGCCCCCCCUGCCCCCGCUACCGCCGCCGCCGCUCCGCCGCCCGCCUGGGAGCCGCGCAGCGCCGCGCUCGGCCCCGCCGCCGCCGCCGGCGCCUUCCCCGCCGCCCCGCCGCCGCCGCCCGCCGCUUCCCCGCGCCCGCGGCCGGGCGAGGCGUCCGGCGUCUCGCCGGAGAUCAAAGCGCUGCAGCAGACGCGGCGGCUGCUGGCCAACGCCCGGGAGAGGACCCGCGUCCACACCAUCAGCGCCGCCUUCGAGGCGCUGCGCAAGCAGACUAGCAGACCUGGAUUACAGCGCUGACCACAGUAACAUGAGCUUCUCUGAAUGCGUGGAGCAGUGCACUAGGACCUUACAAGCAGAAGGAAGAUCUAAAAAAAGGAAGGAGUAAUAACCAGGAAGGGAGGAUUCAGAAGAGCUUCCAGCCAGAGUUACAUCUGGUCUUGGCAAAGAUUGCACGAUCCAGAUGAAGACUGAAAGCAGCUUUUUUGCAGAAACCCCUAUUGGAGAUGACGAUUGGCGAAGGAACUUUCUUAAUCUCUGGAACAGAAAGGAAAAAAGGAAAAGAAAAGGAAAAACGAAAGGACAGGGAUGCUUCUUAUUGUUGUUAAGCCAGCCACCUUUUCGUACGUGCAAUUUAUUUAGCACUUUUCCCUUUGCUUAACUGGGAAAUGUUACCCUCUCAGCUCAUGUGUACAGUAAUUUUUUGUUGUUGUUGUUGUUGUUGCUGUUGUGCCAAAGAUUUGAUGGAGCUUCUACACUGUGUCUUAUUUUUGCCUUAAUGUUAAAUCUUUGAGCCAAAGAAAAGUCAGAGGAGCCAUUCAGAUCGUGGCAAGCAGGCCAGCCAGCUGUCGGUGACAAAGCCCAAUUUCUGUACCCUUCUGUGAGUUACCUCUUAUUUCUUCAGCCUGCACUUCCCUGCCUGCAGCCCUGGAGCCAGCAUUUGGUGUGUGCAAGAGAUGGGACAGCACCAAACCAUGCUUUGGCGUUCAGAUUUGCUUCUUCCUUUGAGCUACUCUGUAGUUCUGCCUUUUGGGCAAUUUCCUGAUUUUCCUUCCUGUGUGACACGUCCACAGGGUAGAAAUACUGAAAUGAAGUGAGAGCUGAAACAGGAGCUAUGAUUUUUUUUUUUUUAAUAAAGAAAUAAAAUUAAGCAAAAGCAAAGUGCCAUGUAAAGCAAAAAGAGAGAGAGAGAGAGAGAGAAAAAAGAAAUCAUAAGAAAGUUCAGCCAGGCAGAAAGAAGUGAAGCAAAAUUCAGCCAGUGUUUCAGGUUUGUGAAGUCGUUUUUUCCAUGGGGUUUUUCAAGUGGUCAGAAACCCAUGUAAUGCAAAAGCAUUUGAAUCCUAUACUGUACCUUUCACUUCAAAUUGAAGUAAAAAAAAAAAAAAGAGAAGAGAUGGAGAAACAUUUGCUUGGAGUAAGCAGACUUUAUAGGUAAUGCAGUUCGUAUGCACGACAUCUGCUAAUGAUGGAGGGACAGAGCUCUGUGUUCAAGUAAAAAAAUAUGAGUUUCCAAACCAAGAAGAUUAACAUGUUUUGUUAAUCUCAAGGGGAAAUAUUACUUGUGAGGCCAGAUUCACAUCCUGGCACUCAGUGUGAAUCAGGUUCCCGUGUGUCUGACUUACUCCAGCGUGGGUCUGGCCAAGCACUGCCAGGCACCGGGGCAGGAGAGGGGAUGGGGCAGGCCAGAGUCACUGGGCAAGGGAGGGAAUAGUCUCUGUUUUACUGACGUGAAUACACAAAACUUGAACUCCUCAGUGCCUGCCUGUUUAUUUCCCAAGCUGAGCAAUUGGCUGGUGAGCCCCAAGCUGGGAGCUGCUGUGCAAAGCCUGAGUCUGGGGUGCCAGGCUGCUCAAUGCCAAGUCCCCUGGCUCCCAGUGAGCUCGAGAUGUCUUCUACCAGAUUUCUGGGGCACGUGGGACAGCUGUGUCCAAAACCCCUCCCAGGAGCUCAUUAUAUUGCUCCCCCCUCCACUCUCACCGCUGGUCAUUAUUAGCAGCCCAAUAAAAUACAUUUUUAGAUUGUCA